rnacentral:snRNA from 1 species
UCUCGCUAUAUAUAGAGGGUUUAU